rnacentral:lncRNA from 1 species
ACUUGCUCCUGCGACUUCCUUUUCAUUUGGUGGGGCAUGCCAACGAGAUCUCAUGAGAGCUUUGAAUCAGUAAGCUCAUAAUCUAGGGUUCAAUUAGCGCCAACUUCAGGGGAGGGAAUUCACCCCAAAGCGGAUUUUGUUCGCUCUGCUCCUCUUGAUUCUGUUGUUCUAGACAAAAAGAUGAGAGCUUUUCAAGGUAUCCAGUUAGACCCCCGGGUAAAAGAGAUCUAUCCAUUUUAGCCACCCUUUCCAUUACUGAUCUAGUUGCUCUUGCUAUCUAACCCGCCACUUUAUUAUAUGAUCUUUUAUUGACUUCAAAAAGUCAAUUUUUUUUCUUUUUCUCGGGCCGACUUCAUACAUUCUAUUACUUAUAGAAAUAGUCAUGCCAAUCUUCUCGGUAAAGAAGAACUCUUUCGCACGAUCUUAAGAGAGCCUAGUUCCACAAGAGCCUUAUCACGAGCCUUUACUUGAUGAAAGGCGCCCUGUAAGAUGCGCUAUAUCGACAAGGCGAGGAGAAAGCAGCCUAAUGGGAAUAGCUCCAAACCAAAGCAGCCCUCCAUCUCGCAUAUAGAAAUGGUUGACAGGCAUACCUAUUCAUGAUAUCGAAUAGGAAUGAUCAUUAUCAGGGGAUACAGAUAUGCCAUGCUAGGAUGAGCUAGGCUUUCAACAGCAUAAGCCACCUCCCAAGCGGCUUCCCUCCAGUGCCUUUGACUAUUGCUACGGUCAUCAACCGCAGCAUUGAAUUGAGACUUUCCACCUUGCUUUGGACUUGAAUGGAUCUACUUCUCCUCUGCCAGAUCGAUCUNN